GGGGGAUUAGCUCAGCAGGUUAGAGCGCUAGCUUCACACGCUAGAAGUCGCUGGUUCGAGUCCAGCAUCUCCCACCA
rnacentral:tRNA from 1 species